CUAUAUUAGAUCCCUUGUUUCUGGGCAUCUUUGUGUGGUAUUGUUCUAUGUUCAGUGUUCUGUAUUUGCCUUGCGCUUUAUUGAGUUUUGCGUGCCUUGUUUUUCUUAAGAACGCAAUACAUUACCUUGACUGCAUCCCUGCAUUCGACUCCUUUUUUCAACACGCCUCUAGACACACUGUUACAACUACAAAAUGUUACAUUAGCACAGUCACAGUAUGACACUCAUUAUUUUGUGUUACAGCUUUUCCUAAUGUAAUUGGUACAGUGGAUUGCACCCAUAUCUGUAUCCAACAGGGAGAUUAUGUUAACAGGAAAUCCUUCCACAGUGUCAAUGUUCAGAUGGUCGGUGAUGCUGUCUGCCUUAUCACAAAUUUAGAGGCAAAGUGGCCUGGCUCAGUCCAUGACUCCAGAAUUCUUCGGACCAGUAGAAUUUACCAGAGACUCUCUCUAGGUGAGUUCUCUGGUGUGCUGCUGGGGGACAAAGGCUAUGCCUGUGAGACAUUUCGGAUGACUCCCCUUACAGACCCCCAAACCCCAGCACAGCAAGCUUACAACCAUGCCCAUGCCAAAACCAGGGCUCGAAUUGAAAUGACCUUCAGCCUCCUGAAAUCAUGAUUUCAGUGCCUGCACCACCUGAGGGUCUCCCCAGACAGAGCAUGUGAUGUGACUGUUGCCUGCACAGUGCUGCACAAUAUUGCCAGCCUAAGAAAAGAAAGGGCUCCCAGAGUUGCUUUGAUUUUUGAUUGGGACAAUGCUGCCAUAUUCCCAGAUAACAGAAAUGCAGAGGGAGGACAAUCCCAGCCUGCUGCUCUCCUUCCACACUGAGCCCAAACAGUUGUUACUGGAUUCGGAUUGUGAAAUUGAAGUUCAGGGGGCAUUGGGGGAUUCAGAGAUGACAUCAUUAAAGGUGGAAGACAAAAGUCAAACGCUGGGACUGAAUGUUUCCAUUAAAGGUGAAGAGGAGGAGACAAAUUGGAUUAUCAUUAAUCAUGGAGAGGGAGAUUUACUCACUCAAGAAUCAAAAAAUACAGAACAUUUUAAAAAUGUUCUUCUGUCCAGGGUGUACGUUUGAGCCUCGCCUCGAUGACAAUUGGCUGGGAAGACCCACGAGAAAUGUAAAUUGUCCAGCAAAUUACAGAGAGAGGGAGGGAUGGACAGCUGGGAUUCCCGGGUCUCAUUGCGCUCUAGCGGCUUCCUGUGGUGGCUCUGCCAUCUCAAAUUCUGACAUAGGUAGUCAGAUAAUUGAACAUGCCAUCACACACUUUUCAUCCCCAAACAGCACUAAAAGAAAUUACAAUAACAAGUUCUAAGGUACAGUUCAACACAAAAGAAAACACAAUGGACAAGAUGCUUCUCAGAAAAUUUCGAUAACCUUAGAAAAGUUCAUUUUCUUCUGUAAUUCUGAUCAGAAAGUGACACCAUCAUAUAUUCUAGAUUCAUUACACAUA